CAGUAGCCACGGUAAUACGAAGGGUGCAAGCGUUAAUCGGAAUUACUGGGCGUAAAGCGUGUGUAGGCGGUUUGUUAAGUCUGUUGUGAAAUCCCCGGGCUCAACCUGGGAAUGGCAAUGGAUACUGGCAAGCUAGAGUGUGUCAGAGGAUGGUGGAAUUCCCGGUGUAGCAGUGAAAUGCGUAGAGAUGUGGAGGAAUACCGAUGGCGAAGGCAGCCCCCUGGGCCAAUACUGACGCUCAUGCACGAAAGCGUGGGGAGCAAACAGGAUUAGAGACCCCUGUAGUCCCUGUCUCUUAUAC
rnacentral:rRNA from 1 species